AAUAGAUACCCCGGUAGUCCACGCCGUAAACGAUGUCGACUUGGAGGUUGUGCCCUUGAGGCGUGGCUUCCGGAGCUAACGCGUUAAGUCGACCGCCUGGGGAGUACGGCCGCAAGGUUAAAACUCAAAUGAAUUGAUGGGGGCCCGCACAAGCGGUGGAGCAUGUGGUUUAAUUCGAUGCAACGCGAAGAACCUUACCUACUCUUGACAUCCAGAGAACUUAGCAGAGAUGCUUUGGUGCCUUCGGGAACUCUGAGACAGGUGCUGCAUGGCUGUCGUCAGCUCGUGUUGUGAAAUGUUGGGUUAAGUCCCGCAACGAGCGCAACCCUUAUCCUUUGUUGCCAGCGGUUAGGCCGGGAACUCAAAGGAGACUGCCAGUGAUAAACUGGAGGAAGGUGGGGAUGACGUCAAGUCAUCAUGGCCCUUACGAGUAGGGCUACACACGUGCUACAAUGGCAUAUACAAAGAGAAGCGACCUGCGAGAGCAAGCGGACCUCAUAAAGUAUGUCGUAGUCCGGAUUGGAGU
rnacentral:rRNA from 1 species